AUGAAAAUUUCAUCGGGGUGCAGGGAUUCUGCGGGGGGUGCAGGUGAGGGCAUGACGGGGGCCUCCCUCAACCCCAUAGACCGACUCUACUCAAUGCAAAACUCCUACUUCUGCGCAGAGGAACAACAUCUACUCGACCAAUGACAUCUUCUCUGAGGGCACCUCUUGCUCCAUUCCAGACCAUUUUUAUGGAAAGGAAAAGAGGAGCCUAGAAAAGAUGCCAGCAACUAAACCAUUAUGCAACACUCCAACGAAAUUCAACGAGGAUCCAAACCAAUGACCAAACUACAAUAAAAGUGUGAAGUUACCCAUCAGAAGUGACAUAAUUUCACCAUAAACAGUGUCUUCAAAAUCUAGAAAUUUUUUGACAAUUUCAAUUUACUCAUAUUCCAACUCAGGAUGAAAAGAAUUGUUACUGAAAACAAUGACAAAUAUGCAAAUUCAUUCUCUACAAACACUCUCAAGGUUUGUAUGGACAAACUUGAGCAUGAGAUUUCUCAAUAAUUUUGCACGAUUCAGCUUUUCUUUCGUUCAUCAAUUGAGGUACUGUAUUAUUUAUAAUUUUAUUGAGUUACCAUUUUUUUCUACUACAUUCUUCAUUAUUCCGUUAGAAAAAGAGAUACUUAUUUUGAGAAAGACAUGACAGCUUUCGAGGACAUUAUUAUUUUGAUACAAGCCUUUUCUCUCUACAUGAAUUACAAUUCAAAUUGAUUAAUAUUCGUAAACUAGAUUUUUGUGCAAAAUUCUAUUAAAACUAGACCGAUGUAAACCAAACUGUUUUUAAACUUAUAUUCAGUUACUUCUUUGUAGAUUUCCCUUUGUUAAGAUAAAUCAUUAAUUUACUAUUAUAGGUUGAGUUUGUGCUAUUAAUUUCCUUCUCAGGAAAAAUCAAACAUCGAAGAUUCUGAACAAAAUGUUGUAAAAGUGACAAAAUGAGUAUCGGUGAUUUUAUUUUUUGACUUAAAUUGCAAAGUGAAAAAUAAAUUUAUUCUAA